CAGACGCUUAACCAUCUGAGCCACCCAGGCGCCCCUCCCCCCCUUUCUAUUGUAUAUUUAUUUUGUAUUUAAGAGGGAUAAUGGAGUCCUUUCCGAAGUUGUUUGAGCACCCUAAAUUUCAGCUUGUACCACUUCAAGAACUGUGUGUUAAGAAUCCCUUUUGGAGCCUGGUGUAGUGGAAAGAGCUCAGGAGCUCUGGGGUCCACUGAGCAUCAGAAACAUACUUGUUUCCUUUAAGCCUUUACCUGCAAAAUAGAGGUAAUACUUUGCAAGUUAUUAUGAAGAUUAAGGGAGAUAUUAUGUGAAAGUAUCUGGCACAUAGAAUGUGCUUAAUAAACUAUGUCCUUUCUACUUUUCAUUUAGAUUAUCUUUAGAAUGUAGUAGUUUUGAUACCCCCUUUUUUUUUUGCUGAAUAUAGAGACUGAUAUGAAGUUGCCUAUAAUUUAGAGGGUUUUUUUUUCCUUCUGAAGUUUGUAUCUUUGUCUCAGAAUUCUGUUUUGUGAGUCUCAGGAAUUUUAUUACUGCUCUAAUACCUCUGCCUAACGGCAGUACUUACAUGCACCCCUGCCUGUAAGAAGGCAGUUAUUUAUUAUCUUUUUUCUCUAAAACAUUUGUGUGUCUGUAUUUUUAUAUUCCCACAUUAUAAAAGUAAUUAUUCAUUUAAAAAAAUAAGAAAAUUCAGAAAAUAGAGAAGAGAUAAAAUUUAGUUGCAAACCGAUCACCUGCUCUGGUGUCCAUUGUGGUUUAUCAUUUUCCAAUCUGUUCUAUGCGUGUAUACACAUAUGUGUCCAUGUUUUGUGAAAUAGAAGUUGGAUGAUACUGUAUGUUUUGUUUAAUUGCUUCUUCCACUUGCCCAUGUAAGUGUUUUUCCAUGUAGUAUCAUGGAGGUAUAUAAUUCUUUAUGGCCUCAUGGAAUUCCAGGGUAUGGGAGUACUGUGAUUACUGUCACUCGUCCUCUCUGCAUGGGUGUUUAGGUCGUAUCUAACUUUUCCUCAUUAUAAACAGUGGUGGCUUUGAUUUUGAAGUCAUGAGUGAUUCUGAUAUGCUUUUCAUCUUCUGAGUGAACAGUACUCAUGAAGUAAUUUCCCUGAGAUUUAAUGCCAGAUCCAGUUCAAAAUCGCCCCUCCUGCCUUGCCACAGGUCUUGUGUGAUGUUACCACUAACAUGACAGUACUUUCUCUCUCUUCACUUAUUUUGCUCUUUAUCUGGUGCUAGUUUCGUAACUCCUUCAUACCCACGCCUCCAUUUACCUUCACAGAACUCUUCGUUUUCUCUUUGCCCCAUGGUGGUGUCCUGUCUGAUCUUUAAUUUUCAAAUUAUUAUACCUUCAUAUUGUUUAACAUGUCUUUGCAUUUCACUAUUGAUUCUUAUGGUUAAGUUCAUUAAUUUGUUACCAGUUUAUUUUUCAUCACCUCAUCCUAAAUUUGGGAUUAUUUAAAUAUUUAAUUUUAUUAAUUAUUCUAAAAGAGAAUGCUUGCUUUCUUCCAAAUAAAAGAAUCAGUGGAGUGGUUUGUAUUGUGUAGUACAGUCAAAAGAUACUAUCUUUACAAAUAAUUGUCUGUUGCCCAAAAUUGGGAUAUUCCUAAAAGUGUUUUUAAUUCAGGACUGCUUUUCCUCUUUCUGGGUCUAGUUUUGGCUCCUGGUCAGUUGAUUAUGUCCUUAAGGAGCAUUAGCCAUUUUAAAUAACUUUAAUAUGAAGCUAAGUAAAUCAUAUAGUAUAUUCUAGAGCUAUGGCUAUUAAACUUGAGCAUGCAUCUGAAUAACUUGGAGGUCUUGUGUACUCACAAACUGCUGUGCCCUACACCCAGAUUUUUUGAUUCUGGCAGUUUUGGAGAGGGCCUGAGAAUUUGCAUUUUUAAUAAGUCCGCAGGUGAUGCUGAAGCUGUUGGUCCUGCAGCCAUUCUAUGAGAAUAACUGUUCUUAAGGAACGUAGAAAUCAUUUUUGGAUUGUCUGUACUCUUUGUAAUUAUUCAUAUUCUUUUUCUCUUUACACUAGUGUACAUGACAGAUAUAACUGAACAUAUUUUAGUAGAGCUGUUGCUGCUUAUUUUUAUAUAUUUUUUAAGAUUUUUAUUUGUUCAUUUGAGAGAGAGAGAGAAAGAGACAGAGCACAAGCAGGGGUAGAGGCAGUGAGAGAGGGAGAAGCAGACUCGCCACUGAACAGGGAGCCCGACGCGGGGCUCCAUCCCAGGAUCUGGAGAUCAUGACCUGAGCUGAAGGCAGACGCUUAACCAUCUGAGCCACCCAGGCGCCCCGAGCUGUUGCUAUUUAAAAAACAAACAAAAACCCUUAUUAGUAAAAUACAGAAAGGUUAUUGGAUAUAGAGCUAUAGCCUGGUGUGAGCCAGACCAGUAGUCAAGACGCCUGGAGUCCUAGUUCAGGGUCUUGGGUUUGGUCCAGGAUAGGUUUUCUUAAAUCUCUUGCAGUCUUCGUUUCCUUGGAGAAAAAAAAUAAUUGCUACUAGGUCUCUCCUGUCCCUGCACUUCCUAAAUCUGCAGGCAGAUCCUCAGUGUGUUUACACAGGCUCACGAUAUCAAAUAUCUCAAUUAAGAAAUGCUUAUGUGUUUUCAAUAAAUGUGCAAAGUAGUUCUAAUAGAGGCAGUAUUUUAAGGCUUUAUCAUGAUGAGGAUUUAGAAUUUGGAUAUGGAAAUAUUUUGAAAUCCUAGAUACUCCAAAUGGCUUUGGACAUCAGAGCUGCAGGAGAACUGAUGGUUCAUUUGUCAGGUCUGCUAAAAUAUCAGGUUGAGCCUGGAAGAAAGGAGGAGGUGAGAGAGAAAUUUUAAAAUAAUGGGAAUUGAAACUGUCCUUGGAUACAUUUGAUUCAUUGGAUCCAGGUUCAGUUCAGUGUGCAAUUCUCUAGUUCCUUAUCAGAUGUAACUAGUAGUUGUUACAUUUAUUAGUGUACUGGCAAUUUGGACCUUUGGGUUUGAAGUUCUUUCUGCUUGACAGCUGACAUGGGGGAGAUGUGUAAAACCUUUUGCAGGUGGCUGGCAGGCAUGUUACUUGUAUUACAAUGGAAAGGAUGCUCUAUUGGAAAAAGCGCAAGAGGAAAGGGCUUUUGUAGAGGAUCACUUAGCAUGUAGGUGUGUGAGAGGUGAAGCUAGACAAUGCCUGGCAGCUGAUGAGAACGCAGCCAAGUAAGAUGAACAGGAAGUUUCUGCAAAGCACCUCAGCCUCUCCUAUUCAGUACUUGGUUAGAGGGCCACUGCGUUAGCCAGGUGCUUCAGUUAUACCGUAGAGACAAGUCUCAUUUGCUGUCACUGUGAGUUGGAAUUUUAGAUCUUUUUAGAAAGUCCUUUUGACUAUUCUUUUAUGGUUGUUGUCAUGCUCUCCCUUACAACUCCCCCCACCCCUUUUGAUGACGUGACAUGUAUAGUCUUCUUAUCUUGUCAGAAAUUAGGAGAAAAUUUCAGCAGAGUAGGAAACCUUAUGACCCAGAAAACAUUUGCCUGAAGUGUUCCCAUGUGAGCAAUGGGCAUGGGCAUAUACUAAGAGAGAGGGGAAAAAAGGCUUUUUGUUGAGAGUGACAGGCAGACAGGACGAGCAAAGUUUAACUUAAAUCCUCUCAUUGAUAUUGGAAAGUCAUAAGCCUUCAUAUGACACUGCCACAUUCAUCUCACUGUGUGAUCUGGAGCUCUGUAGCUUGUACCAUAGUGUGUGUGUGUGUGUGUGUGUGUGUGUGUGCGCGCGCAGUGUAAACCUUUUAUGAACUGCAAUGUCUGAUGCAUCCGUCUGUCUGGGCAAGAAUGUCCCUUGAUAGUAAAAAGAACAGCAAUCAGGACAGAAUUGGUCAAUGCGGCAUGUCUAAUGGUGGGAAGAUAUUUGAAGGACUCGCUAUAGACACAAUAGUCUCUCUAAAUAGCCUCUUUGCAGCCGGAGUCUUAUUGCAAACAGGUUCAUUAAGGAGAGACAUUCUGACACACAGCAUCACAGUAAUGAAAGUAGCUCUGUUUUUCUAAUAUUGUAUCUUGCCACUUCAGUUAUGCUGCUAGUACAAGAUUUCCCUUGUGUUGUUGUAUAUUUCUCCAGAAAAAGAAUCAGUCUUCAUAGAAUAUACAAUUAUUUUGUACAGGAAUGUAUAACUCAUACCUAAGAUCCAGUCCUCCCUGUUUAUGUGCACUAGUGCAAAAAUAAUUGGCAAACACAUCUUCCAGACCAAAAGAUUCCAGCACCUUCAAUUUGUUGGGCUAGAAGAUGUUGAGCCAGAGUUAUAAUAAACUUAAAAAAAAUGUGUAAUGUUCAAAAUGGAUUUGUGAUCAAUCAUAAAAGAAACAAAAUAUUAGUACAGUUUCCCACGAGGUGUAAUUUUUUUCCCAGGGUUUUAGCCAACUCCAGUAUAGUAUCUGUUCAAAGAGGGGGGAAAUGCAAAAGGUUUUCAUCCACCAAGCUUUACAUAUAACUACUAUAUGAAGACUUAAGCUAUUGGAUUUUCUGCCUGUUAAUGUACAGCAUGAACAUUAUGAACAUGGAAAAAAAGGUUAUAUUGGUUUAAAAGUGGAUAUGGAAAAUUUAAUGUGCUCAAGUGGGAACAAUGGCAUAUUAAAAAAAAACACUCAUGACACAGAUCUAAUAAUUCACUUGCCCCUGUAGGAGAAGGGUAUCAGCUCUGAUACUGGCUCAUAGUUUAUUUUUAUAUACACCCCUGGUCCCUGCAGUAUACCCAGUGUGUGGGUUCCAGAGAAAAGAAAGAAAAUAAUCCGUAGGGGAAAUCAGCCUGGAAACCUUUCAUUAAAUACAUUGUACUUUGUACUGUGUCGUUCACAGAAUCUUCAAGAAAUAAAGAAAGGAAAAACCUGUUAUCAGUCUGCAUGUGUGAAAUAUUAUAUUUGAAUACUAUCAUUUGUUUUAAGAUUAAGGCAGAGGCUGCAGACAUAUUAUUAGUUAUUAUUCACUUACAUCUGGUAGAUAAUGCAACAGGGAUUUAAAAAUUCUUUUUCCAUUUCUAGUUCCCGCCUUCCUGUCUGCCACCCUCCCCCCAAACAAUGGCAAAGAUACUACUUUAACUUAAAACUAUGCUGGAUAAAAUAUUUUCAUGUUGGCAAUGUUGCUUCUUUAUAGAGGAUUGGGGUGUUGAGGGUAAUAAAAUGAGUCUUAAAAUUCUUGGUGGAGUUUAUCUGUCAUUUAGCAAAAGAUGCAUUUCUAGGGAAAAUUGGAGAAAGUGGUAAAUACAUUCUUCCAUGAGAAAAAUAUACACGCUAGGGGUGUAACUAUGAAUAGUGACACCUUUAUCAAGUUGAAUGUCCUUUGGAGUAAGCCUUUGUCUUGUCAUUAUAGUUCAUGUAUUGCUGUUGGUGGGCCUUUGAAAUCUGUAAACGUCUUAUCUUUUUUGCUGACUAUUCAUGCAGGAUAUGCUAGGCAAGCCAACUGUGACACAUAUUCUGCUUAUACUCGUAGCUGUCUCUUGGACGAAAAUGAACACACAUCUUAAACCUAAAACCUUGGGUGCCAUAUCACAGUAUUUAACGAACUUCCAGAAUAGCAGAUAUUAAGAAUUUGGUUUUGAUCUCAGAUACUUGGGAGCACAUUGUUCUACACAGUCUCUUGAAAGAUUUAUUAUACCUGAAGUAGCUUGUGUUGAAAAUCAUAUUUUAAGUGGAGAGGGUUAUAAGCCUAUCAGUCUCACCAGACUGAUAACUUUUUUCACACCUGUUAGACUCAGUGCCACCUCUUAGCCUCAGGACAGAUACAGCACAUUCCAUUCCAGAUUAGGUCAUCCUGCUAAGAAAAAAAAUUACUGUAUGAAUUGGGUGAGGGAUGCAGAGCUUUUCCCUUUGGGAGAUUGGUUAUCACAAUUACUGUGGGUAAGCUCCUAAUUUGGAGGCAGUUGUUCCAGUGUUCAGGUGGAUCAUUUCAAUUUCGGUUCCUUUCCUCCAAGUGCUUGUCAGUUGAGUUUCUUAAGCCAUAGACGAUUAAUUUAGAGAUGUUGAUGUCAUUUAGUACUUAGGAUUUGGAAAUACUUUCUGACUGCGGAUCGUGAAGAAAGUGUCUAUUUUUCAAGGGUGGAUGAGCUCUGGGGAGAGGUUUCUUAUUACCACCAUCUCUGUUUUACUUAAAUGGAAGAGCACAACCAGUCCAUCUCUGUGGAUAUUGAAGGUUGGCCCCGAUCUUUAAGUGACAGUGGGUGGGCAUCUCCUGGCAGCUCUCCCAUAUCUCUGGAUGACCAGUCUCUCCCAUUCUGAGAUCAGGACCUCACCUUCUAAAUUAGCAUUGAGCCACAAUACUGUGUCAGGUGCCCUGCUAUUGAAGUGCUUCAGGAAGGAAUGAGCUUUCUGUUUUUCGCCAUGACUCUUGGGUCUGACGUUUAUCUGAGGCCAGUAAUUCAUUAAGCAAACCGUUGGUCUUCAUGUGUGCGAUACCUGGGGUCCCUCUUUCCAACCUACUCCUUUGCAAGGUCCCAUUUCUCUGCAUUCUCAUGGAGUAUCAGAACAGGUAUUUAUCCUAGAGCACUUCCUGGGGCCUUGGAGAUACCCUGUAGGGUGGUGUGCACUUCACAUCCACUAGGGCUUUCUCAGGGUCACAGACAAGCUUCAAUGGCAACGAAGCUACAUCCACAUUAAUGUACUAAGAGGUGGCAGAUCUUUUGUGUGUGCCAGGCAUUCUGCUUGAUGCUUUGCGUGCAUCAUUGUUUUGUCUUCACAUUAAGCGGGUAAAACGGAGCCUACUUUUCUCCCUUUGGCAGGUGAGGAAACUGUGUCACUGGUAAGAGGCAGGACUGGGAUUUUCAGACCCAGGCCUGCUCUUAUUCCCAAGUCCGUGCCCCUUAUUGUUACUGACAUCACAUCCUACGCUGUGUGGUCUCCUUGAGCUCUGCUCUCCCUUCCCUUGGCUCUCAUGCCCAUGGAGUGACUUCUUCGUGGUACUUUGGGGCCAGUCUCCUACUAGCCAGGUGACUGUUAGUCCUUUCCCAACUGAGCUGCACUUUCCCUAUCAGUAAAACAAGGGGGAAUGGUCCCUCUUAUUUAACCUGGUGUUGUAAAUAAAUAAUGAAGUAAUGUCUCUGAAAACACAUGUUGUUUAUUGGUCAUCUUCUUUACGCCAGGCACUGUGCUAGAACUUCUAGUGACAUGGACAGGCAUAGUCUCUGCAAGCCCUUGUAAAGCUUGCAGACCUGUGGACACUGAAACAAAAAUUUACAAAAUUUCUUAGUUGUGCGUUGCAUGUCUAAACCAUACAUAGAUGAUGAACUGGCUUCAAGUUUAAGCCAUGGUCCGUACAGGUGUUAGACUUUUCCAGGUUCCUGUUGGUGAUUCUCAAAGAAACCCCCUGCUUUCUUUGGUGUCGUCUUUUUAACCGAAAUCUUUUAACAUUGUUCUCUAUUUCAGGUUUCUGGAAGUCAGAAACCUGAGAGUUCUGCCCCUGCCUGCUCCUCAGCUUUCUCUCCCCCUUUCUCCUCUCCUUUCUAUCUGCAUCCCUAUUACUUAGUUCUUUACCUUUGCCUGUUUUGCUUUCUACCUUUCUCUGAUUUCUGAACCCAGUUUAAAUUUAAUCCUCCUUCAGAUCCUAGCUCAGUCCUCACUGGCUUUAAGUCAUACCCUUCUUUUGAUGAAUAUUCUUUUAUUUAUUUAUUUAUUUAUUUAUUUAUUUAUUUAUUUUGCUGGACCAUAGGGUAGUUCAACUUUUAUUUUUCAUUUUUAGUUUUUUAUUUAAAUUCAAUUAGCCAACGUAUAGUACAUCGUUAGUUUUUGAUAUAAAGUUCAUAAAUAUUCUUUUAAAACAGUAAUCCCAAUUUUGCAGUUAUCUUUGCUUGUGUAGGAAAUCUGCUUAUUUCUUCAACUAGAAUGAAAGUUCCCUGAGGUUACGGGCCACUUCUCUGUCUAUCCAUCCCAGGCACAAAUCUGUUUUCGAAUAUUGAAGUAAAUUGGAUUUUCUCCUCAUAUUCUUCUCUGGAACAGCUCAUCCUUUUUCAUCUCUAACAUUUAUUCUGCCUUCAUGUUCAGUUGGCCCGUUGAACUGAACACUCCACACAUUUCCCAACUCUGCAUUUCCUCCUUUUUUCUAAUUCUUCACUGUCUCCAUUGUCUUCAUCCAAACUCAUUUCCUCCCCAGCACUCCCGCAGCCCCCCAUCACUCGCCAUCUUCUGGGUAGGAAGAUCUACUUUGGAAAAGGUUCCCCGGCAUCCCUCAUUAUUUCUGCAGACUGUAUGUCUAAACCAUUACUUGGUGUAAGUUCUUCGGACUUCCUUCUUUAUCUGAAUCAUGUAACUGGUCUUGUCACCUCUUGCCCUGAACUGGUAAUCCUUCUAAAACAUAGAUCUGAUCAUGUCAGAUCUUAAAAGCCUUUGAUAGAUACUAGUGAAAUGAUACUCUGGGAUUUAUUUUCAAACUAUCCAGUGGAGGAGGGGAGGUUAAGGGGAUUAGGGGGAGUAUAGGUAUAACAAGAUGGACCAUGUCCUGAUAACUGUUGAAGCUGAUGGUAUGGUUUACAGGGGACUGCUUCUACUAUUUGCAUUUGUAUGUUGGAAAACUUCAUGAUACAAUUAAAAAAUAAAACCCAGCAAACUUUGGCUGUACACUGUAUAGACAAUAUCUGAACUUCUUUGUAGAGCAAGCAGUGCUCUCAUAACCCUCCCCAUUGUCUCUUUUGGCCUCAGAUCUCUUUCAGCCCAAUAGACCGACGCUCUGUUGCUUGCCCUGUCCUCAGCACUGAUUAAAAAGACUCAGCUUUAGGACGAAAAUCCUCCCUGGACCACUUCAUUAGCCCGAUUGGGGUCUUCUCUCCUUUUGGCUUCCCUGUCCCGUUGAUGGACCAUCCCUAAAGCCCAUCCUGUUGCUUCUUUGUGUAUUGCUGUGCUGCCUACCAUUCCACCCAUCAUUGAGGACUGCCCAAACCAAGAAGGUUCCCACUCCACCAUCUCCAGUUUCAGUCCAGCCACUACUCGCUGCAUGCCUAUUGAGUGUCGGGCACUAAAUGAAUGUUUGAGAUAAAAUCUAGUAGUUCCUUCUGGCCUGUAGUGUGGGGCAGCAUUUGGGACUAACUUUGGUUAGUGGAUUCCCUUCCUCCUCUUCAUUCCUAAGAUCAUCCCAAACUCUUUUCAGGGAAUGAAGUAUAUAUAUCCUUAAGAGAUGAUAGGUAAACUGUACUGUAGAAAUCCAAGACAGCCAAAUAUUCAUUAGCAUGUCAAAUAAAACCCUUUGUCCAGCUUUUGCCCAGCUUUUUUUUAAAUCUCUUUUUAGGGGCGCCUGGGUGGCUCAGAUGGUUAAACGUCUGCCUUCGGCUCAGGUCAUGAUCCCAGGGUACUGGGAUCGAGUCCCACAUCAGGCUCCCUGCUCCUUGGGAGCCUGCUUCUCCCUCUGCCUCUCUCUCUCUCUCUCUCUGUCUCUCAUGAAUAAAUAAAUAAAAUCUUUAAAAUAAAUAAAUAAAUAAAUAAAUCUCUUUUUAAUGGUGUCUUUUAAAAUUCUCAGGCUCUACAUUUACACUUACGAGGUCCCCCUCCCUCUUUUUGGUCCACUCCAUAAAACUGGGUGGGGGGGUUGUUUUUGCCACCUAAUGGUUUAUAGGAGGGCAGCUUCCAGCCAGCCUUCUGCCAGAGCCCAUCCUAAAGUCCCUACACUAGGCUCUAAAGGUGAGCAGAAGAAUAACCCUUUUCUCAACCUUGACAAUGUAUUUCACUUAUUUCUGGCCACUCAGUUAUUCCAAACUCCAAUAUGACUGUGGAGCCCAGAGUUGAAAGUAGAAGAUGUUGAAAAGAUUUGAGAAAUGAACUGAUUUUUGUGGCCUGGAGAAGUGAAGACCAAGGAGCUGCUGUUGGUGUUGAGCUCCCUGAAGUGUAUACUCUGUUGGUACCCGUCCUGCUGCUCACGUACCCUCUCUGUGGCUUGCACAUUCAAGAGUUCUAAAGUGGAUUGUGGGCUUUGAUGAAUCCCCGUUUACAACUUUCACUCUCUUUGUUUUUUUUUUUUUGAAACACCAUUUCUCUAAGAAAGAAGAAAGGUUGAGGGCAGAGUGGACACACAUCUUUGAUUGUUUUUGGGUAGUGUUCGAAGGUGUUUUUUACAAGACGAUUUUGUUUCCUAGAUCAGCCCCCUCUGGCAUUUGUCUCUCCUCACACCUCAUAUAACAUUACAGAAGGA